rnacentral:rRNA from 1 species
AGUGAACGCUGGCGGCGUGCCUAAUACAUGCAAGUCGAACGGAGUGGCGCACGGGAGAGUAAUGUAUAGCUAAUCUGCCCUACACUAGAGGACAACAGUUGGAAACGGCUGCUAAUACUCUAUAGUGUAGGAUGAGGCUAUAUUGUAUCAGCUAGUUGGUGAGGUAAUGGCUCACCAAGGCUAUGACGCAUAACUGGUCUGAGAGGAUGAUCAGUCACCCUGUAACUGAGACACGGUCCAGACUCCUACCGGAGGCAGCAGUAUGGAAUAUUGCUCAAUGGGGGAAGCCCUGUCGCAGCAACGCCGCGUGGAGGAUGACACUUUUCGGAGCGUAAACUCCUUUUGUUAGGGAAGCGGUACCUAACGAGUAGGCACCGGCUAACUCCGUGCCAGCAGCCGCGGUAAUAC